rnacentral:rRNA from 1 species
CCUCGGGGGGCAGCAGUGAGGAAUAUUGGUCAAUGGGCGCGAGCCUGAACCAGCCAAGUCGCGUGAGGGAAGACGGUCCUAUGGAUUGUAAACCUCUUUUGUCGGGGAGCAAAAGACGCCACGCGUGUCGUUCCGAGAGUACCCCAAGAAAAAGCAUCGGCUAAAUCCGUGCCAGCAGCCGCGGAAAUACGGGGGAUGCGAGCGUUAUCCGGAUUUUUUGGGUUUAAAGGGUGCGCCGCCGGAAGAGCAAGUCAAAGUUAAAAUGGAGGGGCUAAACCUCUUAGUGCCGUUGAAACUGGUUUUCUUGAGUGCGUGAGAGGUAGGCGGAAUGCGUGGUGUAGCGGUGAAAUGCAUAGAUAUCACGAAGAACUCCGAUUGCGAAGGCAGCAUACCGGCGCUCAACUGACGCUCAUGCACGAAAGUGUGGGUAUCGAACAGGAUUAGAUACCCCGGUAGUC